rnacentral:rRNA from 1 species
UACGGAGGAUCCAAGCGUUAUCCGGAUUUAUUGGGUUUAAAGGGUGCGUAGGCGGAUUGAUAAGUUAGAGGUGAAAUGUCCGAGCUCAACUCGGGAACUGCCUCUAAUACUGUUGAUCUAGAGAGUAGAUGCGGUAGGCGGAAUGUGUGGUGUAGCGGUGAAAUGCUUAGAGAUCAUACAGAACACCGAUUGCGAAGGCAGCUUACCAAUCUAUAUCUGACGUUGAGGCACGAAAGCGUGGGGAGCAAACAGG